rnacentral:SRP_RNA from 1 species
GUCUUGGUCCCACGCAAUGAUAGGUUGUGAACCCCGCCAGAUCCGGAAGGAAGCAACGGUAACGAUUGAUGCAUGUGCCGUGGAAAGGCCGAGUCAGC